AAAUUGAAGAGUUUGAUCAUGGCUCAGAUUGAACGCUGGCGGCAGGCCUAACACAUGCAAGUCGAACGGUAACAGGAAGCAGCUUGCUGCUUUGCUGACGAGUGGCGGACGGGUGAGUAAUGUCUGGGAAACUGCCUGAUGGAGGGGGAUAACUACUGGAAACGGUGGCUAAUACCGCAUAACGUCGCAAGACCAAAGAGGGGGACCUUCGGGCCUCUUGCCAUCAGAUGUGCCCAGAUGGGAUUAGCUAGUUGGUGAGGUAACGGCUCACCAAGGCGACGAUCCCUAGCUGGUCUGAGAGGAUGACCAGCCACACUGGAACUGAGACACGGUCCAGACUCCUACGGGAGGCAGCAGUGGGGAAUAUUGCACAAUGGGCGCAAGCCUGAUGCAGCCAUGCCGCGUGUAUGAAGAAGGCCUUCGGGUUGUAAAGUACUUUCAGCGGGGAGGAAGGUGUUGUGGUUAAUAACCACAGC
rnacentral:rRNA from 1 species